rnacentral:rRNA from 1 species
GACGAACGCUGGCGGCGUGCUUAACACAUGCAAGUCGAACGGAAAGGCCCUGCUUUUGUGGGGUGCUCGAGUUGCGAACGGGUGAGUAACACUUGAGUAACCUGCCCUUGACUUUGGGAUAACUUCAGGAAACUUGGGCUAAUACCGGAUAGGAGCUCCUGCUGCAUGGUGGGGGUUGGAUAGUUUCGGCGGUUGGGGAUGUACUCGCGGCUUAUCAGCUUGUUGGUGGGGUAGUGGCUUACCAAGGCUUUGACGGGUAGCCGUCCUGAGAGGGUGACCGGACAAAUUGGGACUGGGAUGAGGCCCAGACUCCUACGGGAGGCAGCAGUGGGGAAUAUUACACAAUGGGCGGAAGCCUGAUGCAGCAACGCAGCGUGCGGGAUGACGGCAUUCGGGUUGUAAACCGAUUUCGCCUGUGACGAAGCGUGAGUGACGGUAAUGGGUAAAGAAGCACCGGCUAACUACGUG